UACGAAGGGGGCUAGCGUUGCUCGGAAUCACUGGGCGUAAAGGGUGCGUAGGCGGGUCUUUUAAGUCAGGGGUGAAAUCCUGGAGCUCAACUCCAGAACUGCCUUUGAUACUGAAGGUCUUGAGUUCGGGAGAGGUGAGUGGAACUGCGAGUGUAGAGGUGAAAUUCGUAGAUAUUCGCAAGAACACCAGUGGCGAAGGCGGCUCACUGGCCCGGUACUGACGCUGAGGUGCGAAAAGCGUGGGGAGCAAACAGGG
rnacentral:rRNA from 1 species